rnacentral:rRNA from 1 species
AGUGAACGCUGGCGGUAGGCCUAACACAUGCAAGUCGAACGGCAGCACAGUAAGAGCUUGCUCUUACGGGUGGCGAGUGGCGGACGGGUGAGGAAUACAUCGGAAUCUACUUUUUCGUGGGGGAUAACGUAGGGAAACUUACGCUAAUACCGCAUACGACCUACGGGUGAAAGCAGGGGAUCUUCGGACCUUGCGCGAUUGAAUGAGCCGAUGUCGGAUUAGCUAGUUGGCGAGGUAAAGGCCCACCAAGGCGACGAUCCGUAGCUGGUCUGAGAGGAUGAUCAGCCACACUGGAACUGAGACACGGUCCAGACUCCUACGGGAGGCAGUAGUGGGGAAUAUUGGGCAAUGGGCGCAGGCCUGAUCCAGCCAUGCCGCGUGAGUGAAGAAGGCCUUCGGGUUGUAAAGCCCUUUUGUUGGGAAAGAAAAGCAGCAGGUUAAUACCCCGCUGUUCUGACGGUACCCAAAGAAUAAGCACCGGCUAACUUCGUG